GACGGCGCAGUGCUGAUGACGUAAAAGACCAUUGGACCUUACCAGCCAAUUCGAGUGGCUGCGGGACAUUUCGCACCUUCUGUGUUUUUCCUAACCCUCGUGGUCUAGAUUUAUGGUAGCAGAAACACGCUGCGGAAGAAGCAGAGGAUAUCGGCUUGUGAUAGAGGUCAGACACUGAACCUCCGGAAGAAUCCUGAGAUGAGAUAACAGAUGAAGUAACAGAUGAAGUAAGUGGAACUCUCUUGCAAACACCUGAGAACUAGUGAAGUCAAAAUUGGAACCCAGGUUUGUGCUCGUUAUGUUACACCAAUAACCUGUCAAAGGACCUCGCAGGAGUUUUUGCCUAAUCAUCUCUUGAUAGUUCUUCGUUCAUUCACUUAUUUACUGAGCAACACUGUGUGCCAGGCCAACUCCAUCCUGGGGAAACAGUAGAAACAAGACAUGGUACCUGUUCACAGAUCUUACUUUCUAGAAAAGGAAGCAGAAUGUAAAGAGGGAAAAGCACAGAGUUUGUGGAUACUAAGAAGAAAGUCAGCAGGGUGCUGAGGUAAGAGAAUAACUGGAUGUGGGGACUUUUUCCAAGUAGGUGAUCAGGGAAGGUCCCAGGUGGUAACUUUGAAGCAGAGACCUCAGAUAAAUGAGGAGGAGCUGUCUCAUUAGAAAUCCAAGGAGAUUUCUGGGCAGAUGGAACAGCAUGUGGAAAAGUCUUAAAGUGAAAGUAAACUAAAUGUGGUGAAGGAGCAGCUGUCAUUGUAGCUGGAGUAAGGUGAGUAGGAGAGAGUGGUAAAUGUUGGAGAGAUGGGCAGGGCCUGUAUCAUAUACACCCAUAGAGGUCAUGGUGAGAUCUUUGGAUUUUAUUCUAAGCCAGUGGAAAGUUUUAAAGAGUGAUACCAAAUUUAUGUUUUAAAAGAUAAGACUGCUGUAUGAAGAGUGAAAUAUGGGCAAGUUAAAGUGGAGACAUGGAAGGAAGAAAAAAAAAAAAAGGAUUUCCCGUUGUAUGGCAGAAAUGAAUCCCACUAGGAACCAUGAGGUUGUUGGUUCGAUCCCUGGCCUUGCUCAGUGGGUUAAGGAUCUGGUGUUGCUGUGACCUGUGGCGUAGGCUGGCAGCUAUAGCUCCAAUUCGACCCCUAGCCUGGGAACCUCCAUAUGCUGUGGGCACAGCCGUAAUAAGCAAAAAAAAAUUGGAGACAUGGACAGUUAUUAAGAGGCUGUGGGGUAACCUAGAUGAUGAUGAUGUUCCAACAGUAAAGUGGCGGUAAAGUUAGAAUAGAUGGAUUUAUGUUAUGUUUCGGAGGUAGAGGUGAAUGGACUUAUUGAAGGACUCAGUGUGGAAAAUGUGAAUAAGAAACUAAUCCAGAAUAAUUUCUGGCUUAAGCAGCUUGUAUGGGUGAUGGUGACAUUCAGUGAAUGAAAGACUUGAUGAGAGUGAGAGUGGAGAAUCCAGAGUUCUUUUCUGCCUGGUUAAUUUGAGGUUCUUAUGUGAUGUACUAGAGGAUAAGUAAUUGGAUAUAUUGUGGUGCAGAUGUAGUUGUCUCCUUUGUUGACCAUUUACCUACAGUACAUUCCUCAACCCCCAUAAAAAAGGCGUGGCCAUAUGCCUAUGCUUUCCUCCAGUGGAAAGUGAGCAGAAUACAUGUGCAUAUAUCCAGGCCUGGCCCAGAAAAUCUAUGAACAGAUGCUCUUACUUACUUUGUCAGCCGGAAGAUGAUGACCAGGUUCUGGAGAAGGCAAGGCUUUAAUAUGGAAGAUACCUGAGUGAAGGAGAAGUCUGCUGUGUUGACCUUAACAUCCACUCAGUAUUGUUACAUGAGAAAAAAAAUAAAUCUCUGUCGUGUUGA